AGAAUAAUAUUUUAAUAAAAAUUUUUAAAUUGCAUUUAAAAGAUAUUUAUAAUAUAAAUUUAUUUUA
rnacentral:tRNA from 1 species